GCUUCUGCUACUGUUACUGGUGUCAAGUGUCUAUGUGUGCUGGAGAGGAACAGUACUGUGGAAAGGUUGUGGAAGAACUAAUAACCUGAACCAGGACUGGAUUCAAUAGUGUUCAGGGUAAAAUGGAACAAGAUGAUUGGACACUGGCUGACGUUUUUUAUACACUGAUACCUUAAUUGAUUAUUUCAA